rnacentral:tRNA from 1 species
GCCGGGGUAGCUCAGGGGUAGAGCAACGCACUCGUAAUGCGUAGGCCGGGGGUUCGAAUCCCCCCUCCGGCU